rnacentral:lncRNA from 1 species
AGGGGGAGAACUGGGAUAUAGGAAGUCCUUGAGUUUCCAGCCCUGGGAUCCAGAGUCAGACACCACACUCCCCAGACUGUGGAGGAUUCACCACCAGACCAGGAAGCCACAGCCUGGGCUUCAGAGUCGGCCACUCGUCCACGCACAGACGAGGAGAGGUCUCAUGAAACUUCGGCGCCAUCUGGGAUCCCAGCUCUUUUAUUUGGCAUAAAGCCCAGUCACGAGGGCCCUUAGUGACUGGGCUCAAGGAACACAAAAAGGUCCUGAAGGGGCGAGGCCUUAAGCAUUAUCCAAUCAGGGACACUGGGCUGGAAACCGUCCAAUCAGACACCCAGCUGGAGCGAACAGGUCGACUUCCGAGUUUGGCGGGGCCUUUGUCUCUCACUGCACCUGGAGCUCCAGGUCUCAUCUUCACUACUCUGUGUCCUCUGCUGCUGGAGGCCCAGCCCUGUGACCUGACGGUUUUGGGAGAUCCACAGCUAAGACGCCAGGACCUCCUGGAAGCCUAGAAAUGAGUUUUCGCUCUGUUGCCAGACUGGAGUGAGGUCCUACAGUUGUGCAGCCGCGCGAUCUGGGCUCACUGCAACCUCCACCUCCCGGGUUCAAGCAAUUAUCCUGCCUCAGCCUCCUGAGUAGC